UACGUUUUCGUUCAUGCUUAAUUUGUAAACCCUUUUUCAAAACUUUAACCACCGGCCAAAGAUUUGUAAAUCUGGUUAGCUUUAUCACUUUCAACCCUACGGCCCUCUUACAUCCCCUCCAUCCGUGUGGUAGUCGCUGUCACGCACAAGUCAUCGUACCAUAAUACACAACCGUGCCGUCAUGUUCAACACGAAACCCAUUGAUAGUUGCUGUCAUCCUUCCGGUUAGUGGUUACCACCGCUCACCAUCGCACUCCGCCACAAACCAUCGGCCGCUACCAUAAUCUCUGAAUAGUUUAUGUUCGACUCCGGAGGCCCUCAUGUUCGUUCGUUAUGGACUACUUGAUCUGUUUUGCUUUUGCUUUGCAUGGCUAAACUAAGGUAAUAUGGGAUGAUCUGGGAUUUCAGUGAGGAGCGUUAGGAAGUUGCCGGCCAAGAUUCUUCAUUUCAGUAAUGUAAUAAAUGUAAUUAGGAUCUUUUAUUUAAUGAUAUGGAUUAGUUUUUAGUUUUGAUA